UGCAAAUGACUGCUCUAGGGGAAAGAGAUGUUAGGAACAUAAUUGUGGGGGCUGAGACGGAGAGACUCGUUUCCCGCAGUUUUUCUUCAGCGCGCGUGUUUGAGGAGCUGCGAGGAGAGUUCAAUGCUUGUUCUUUUGACUGUUCAUGCACACGGAACAGACAGUCCACUUGCUCAGCGGUGAAAAAGGUUUUCCUAUAGGAGAAUUGAACAAUGGCCGUUGUCUUCUCCAUAUUGUGACCCAGGCCCCGGAGGAGCACCGUCAGGAGAAGAGCCAAGUCUAGUGAGGUCAAAGUGACAGACAGAAUAAGGAUCCGGUUUCCCACCUCUUUCCGACCCUAUCAGCACCAAUCUGUAAUGGAAUCAUAUCUGAAAUGACAGGCUUUUAGAGGAAUUGUAUACACUGUGGUAAAAUGGCUGUCAAGACAGUUGUGAAACUGACUGUAGAUGAAUAAAAUGUGGGACAAAAUUGAUGUUUAAUUUAUGCCAG
rnacentral:lncRNA from 1 species